ACGAAAGUAAACCUAGAUGGCAAGGAAAAGAGUAAUAAAUGGAACCAAAUACCAUCAAACGUUGAUUCCUUUACCUACCCACCGAUGAGACACAAGGUUGGUCAUUUACCCUGUCCCCGCCAACCACAACAUGACAACCAUAGAAGCUGCAAACACAUGGCCUCAAUGGUGCCAGUGUCCUGCCAUCCUUGUCUUUCCACGUGCAUUAUACCUGUAAUUCAUCUGAAUAGCCUCUUGAGUGAGCUUGAUCCCAAAUAAACCAACUGUAUUAAGAAUUAAACCCCUUUGGCUCGCUCCCCUUAUAUUGAUGAAAUGUCAUGCUCCAUAGCUUUCAUUCCAUUUACGGGGAACCACAGAGAGGAGCCGCAGAGGUGCUAACUUGACUGCCUGGCCUGCCUCCCUCAUGUGUAGAUUGCUCUGCAGAGAGAACCUUAUCAGUACAUCAGCUGAGGCCUUGUCAGUCACUCAUAAACAAGAAGUAAAGAUAGCCUUAGCUGGCCUUCACCAGCAAUAAAUCUGAUAUCCCAGCCAUUAAAUGAUCAGAAAUAACUAAUCAGACUAUUUCGUAUUUUGUUUUCGUAUAAUGCAAAGGUCAUGAUUGAGACAACUUCAGUGAUGGCCAACAUUAGUUUGUUAGCCAAAACAAUUAAUUUUACCAGCCAAAAAACUGGCUCACCCAUAAUUUCUUGUGUAUAAUACGCUCUCGAUAAUAAUGCCACCCCCAAAAUUGACUCCAAAAAUCAGGACAACACUUCUUCCGAUGUACAAUGCACACCCAUGACUUUCUAUCAAGACCCCACAAAAUUAUCAUGUAGUAUGUUUUUUUGGCGGAGUUCUAUGGUCUUAGCCCCCUAAAACAAAUCUUCAGCCCCCCUUUAAAACAAAAGUUUGGUUUCCAGCCGCCCCAUACCCCUGCGACAAUUACAUUUUUGUGUACAAAAACGUGUGUGCGUGUGUGUGCCCAUGUAUGAAUCUGUGUGGAUGAGUCGUGGAAAGGGAUUUAUUUUAACUCUGUAAAUCCCUUUGAGAUGUAUAUCACUAUGUGCUCUAUAAAUAAAGCUUGCAUUGAUUUGAUUUGGAGACUCUGUAUUAACAAAUUAGGCAGAAGUGCUUAUGUGAAAAGCAGUUUGAGCUGCUUUCCCUUUUAAUUCCACUUGGUGGCAGUAGAUUUCCUUUAUUUUCUAUUUAUGUCAGUAUGACCCUACAAUAUAUUCCCAAAGGUAUUCGCUCACCUCCCUUGACUCACAUAUGAUUUUAAGUGAUAUCCCAUUGUGUCUUCCGUUGUAGUUACCUUCUUCGCCUUGUUUUGGUGUUUGAGUUUUUGUUUUAACCUUCUAUUAUUGCAAUUUCCUCCUGUGGCAUUUCAUCCAUCUGUUUUAGUUGGUUCUUCUUGUACUUUUGUUUUUUUUCUCACAUUUACCUUUUGUCACGUUGCUUUUUG